GGGGACGCCCCAGAGGACUCAGGAAAUCAAGGAACAAUAGUCUCCUCGACUCAGUGAUAUUUUGUUUCUGAUUCGGUAUUGCCAGCCCAUCGGGUUUUGCUGGCUACUCAGUCCUGGUCUCAGUGUUGGACAUCCAUUGCCUGUCUUUAUUGUCUUGUCUUAUCUGUGUCAUGUGACAUUGCUUUCACUGUUUGUGCAUCUUUCAUUAUGGGACAGAGCACUUCAACGCCUCUGUCCCUGACCCUUGAUCACUGGACUGAAGUCCGCUUAAGGGCUCAGAAUCUUUCUUUUUCAGUAAAACGUCGGACCUGGCAGACUCUCUGUGCCUCAGAACGGCCCACCUUUGGAGUCAGAUGGCUCCCAGGAGGAUCUUUCUACUCCCCAC
rnacentral:lncRNA from 1 species